GUGGAGGACCGAACCCACCAGGGUUGAAAACCUGGGGGAUGAACUGUGGGUAGGGGUGAAAGGCCAAUCAAACUCCGUGAUAGCUGGUUCUCCCCGAAAUGCAUUUAGGUGCAGCGUUGCGUGUUGCUUGCCGGAGGUAGAGCUACUGGUUGGUUGAGCGGGACUACAAUCUUAGCAAUGUCAGCCAAACUCCGAAUGCCGGUUUAAGUUAGCGCAGCAGUGAGACUGUGGGGGAUAAGCUUCAUAGUCGAGAGGGAAACAGCCCAGAUCGCCGGCUAAGGCCCCUAAGCGUGUACUAAGUGGAAAAGGAUGUGGGAUCGCGAUGACAGCCAGGAGGUUGGCUUAGAAGCAGCCAUCCUUGAAAGAGUGCGUAAUAGCUCACUGGUCGAGUGGUUCUGCGCCGACAAUGUAGUGGGGCUCAAGUACACCGCCGAAGCCGCGGCAAUGAUUCUUUUGAGGAUUGUUGGGUAGGGGAGCGUCGUGCACAGCUGUGAAGCAGUACCGUGAGGGGCUGUGGAGUGUGUGCGAGUGAGAAUGCAGGCAUGAGUAACGAUUUGGCAAGUGAGAAUCUUGUCCGCCGGAUGACUAAGGGUUCCUGGGUCAAGUUCGUCUUCCCAGGGUGAGUCGGGUCCUAAGGCGAGGCCGACAGGCGUAGUCGAUGGUUAACGGGUUGAUAUUCCCGUACCCGUAUAUGUGCGUCCAUGGUGAAUCAGUGAUACUAACCAUCCACAAGUCUUCCGCUGCUGUCUUUGAUGGUGGUGGUUGGGGCGUGCGUGGAGCCUGAUCUGGUAGUAGCUAAGUGAUGGGGUGACGCAGUGGGGUAGCUGAGCCACUUAUUGGAUUGUGGUGCAAGCGUGUAGGGCGAUCGGUAGGUAAAUCCGCCGGUCAUGAUGCCUGAGGCGUGAUGCGUAGCCCCUUUUUGGGGUGAUGUUGGUGAUCCCGUGCUGUCGAGAAAAGCCUCUAGCGAGUGCAUAUAUGGCCCGUACCCUAAACCGACACAGGUAGUCAGGUAGAGAAUACUAAGGCGUUCGGGUGAACUGUGGUUAAGGAACUCGGCAAAAUGCCCCCGUAACUUCGGGAGAAGGGGGGCCGGAACCGUGAUGGGAUUUACUCCCGGAGCGGGAAAGGCCGCAGAGACCAGUGGGAAGCGACUGUUUACUAAAAACACAGGUCCGUGCCAAGUCGCAAGACGAUGUAUACGGACUGACGCCUGCCCGGUGCUGGAAGGUUAAGAGGACCUGUUAGCUGUUAAAGGCGAAGCGGAGAAUUUAAGCCCCAGUAAACGGCGGUGGUAACUAUAACCAUCCUAAGGUAGCGAAAUUCCUUGUCGGGUAAGUUCCGACCUGCACGAAUGGCGUAACGAUGGCGGCGCUGUCUCCACCCGAGACUCAGUGAAAUUGAAAUCGCUGUGAAGAUGCAGUGUAUCCGCGGCUAGACGGAAAGACCCCGUGAACCUUUACUGCAGCUUGACAUUGAACUUUGAUCUUACUUGUGUAGGAUAGGUGGGAGGCUUUGAAGCGUGGACGCCAGUUCGCGUGGAGCCAACCUUGAAAUACCACCCUGGCAACUUUGAGGUUCUAACUCAGGUCCGUUAUCCGGAUCGAGGACAGUGUAUGGUGGGUAGUUUGACUGGGGCGGUCUCCUCCCAAAGAGUAACGGAGGAGUGCGAAGGUAACCUCAGCGCGGUCGGAAAUCGCGCAGUGAGUGCAUAGGCAUAAGGUUGCUUGACUGCAAGACAAACAAGUCGAGCAGGUACGAAAGUAGGUCUUAGUGAUCCGGUGGUUCUGUAUGGAAGGGCCAUCGCUCAACGGAUAAAAGCUACCCUGGGGAUAACAGGCUUAUCUCCCCCAAGAGUUCACAUCGACGGGGAGGUUUGGCACCUCGAUGUCGGCUCGUCGCAUCCUGGGGCUGGAGUAGGUCCCAAGGGUUGGGCUGUUCGCCCAUUAAAGUGGCACGCGAGCUGGGUUCAGAACGUCGUGAGACAGUUCGGUCCCUAUCCGUCGCGGGCGUAGGAAAUUUGAGAGGAUCUGCUCCUAGUACGAGAGGACCAGAGUGGACUUACCGCUGGUGUACCAGUUGUC
rnacentral:rRNA from 1 species